rnacentral:lncRNA from 1 species
ACAGAGCUAAGCAUUCAUGCAUUUCUCAGUUCUUUCAUGCUGCACACUGGUGCUUUUCUAGCUAUAACUUAUAACAAAGUUUAUCAUUCAGAUGGCCCCCUAAAGUGCAAGUUGUCUUAGAGGAAUAGUGUCUAAUAUGUCUAUCUUUUCAGGGAAAGGAAAGAAAAAAGAAAACUGAAUAAUAUGAAAAAGAAACAGGAGGAAAAAUUAAAAACACAAGUAGCAGUGGUUUGAGCCCCAGUGGAAAACAUACAUUUAUUGGGAAGAAUUCUCAGCAGGAACAGUGGAAAUCUUACAUUUUCUAGUUCAAUUACAACAUCAGGAUCUUAGAUAUUGGCAGGUUCUUUACCACUGGUGACUCCUGGGAAGCCCUCCUGGGACCAGGCAGAGCUGCUGUUCUCAUGGGACUGGUACAAAGCUCUGACUGGGCAGCUGAUGCUGGACAUACACACCUCAUGUCUUGAUGCUGUCGAGUGAACCUUUGUUCCUGAAUCGGAAGCCACCCCACCUCCCCUAUCUGCAGGUUUGGUUUUUCCAGCUUUGCAUGUCCUUUUUCCCGCCUUGUAUUUAAUACCUUCCGUCUUCCAGAAGAGCCGGUCAUGGUCCUCCGACAGUAACUGCUGGUCACAGUGA